UGUGUGUGUGUGUGUGUGUGUGUGUCGGGGUUCAUUGAGAGAAAAGCUCGCUGUGAUCGACUUGGACGGUCAACAAUGUUUCCAUGUUCACUUGUAUCUGGCUGUGGACGUGAGGAGGCUGAACGUCAGUCUUCUUCGGUGGUUUCGGGAAGGUGUAGCGGCGGCGCUUGGCGUUCCUGCUGGACACGUGCACAUCAACCGGCUGAAUGAGGAGAAGAAUGGCAUCGAGCUCUUCGUGUCCUCUGAUAGGCUGGGAAUCUCCGAGCCCCGCCCCGCUGAAGAGGUCAUCCAAUCACUGAACGUCCGGGUCCUCCACCGACACCUGGGACACUUCGGCAUCACUGAAGUCUCCA